CCUCUGGAGAAGUCACCUCAAGUCUUGAGAGCAGUGAAAUCUGAGGCAUUUGGAGUGAAUUACCCAGUCCUAUCGUAUAUUUGUCUUGCAUGAACCCAGCUGUAGGGGAGCUGAGUACCUGUUUGCCUGCACACGGUGAUGGGUAUGCAACACUCAUCUGCAAAUCUUGUGCAGACAACUGAGCCUAUUUCAUUAACUUAUUACUACUCUCACUCUUACCUGCCUCCUACCCCUUCAUUAAAGUGAUGUACUCCUUCUAGACUGCAUUAGAAAUUAUUUAAAAAGGGGCAGUUUUCCAUAAAAUAUUUGCAAUGGAGCCUAGGCAUCAUUAUUGCAAGAUCUUAGUAACAAUAGUAUUAACUUCCACGGCUCUGAGGAAGACACAGGUGUUCUUUAACCUCCCCUCCUUGUGUAACCUUGAGCAGAUAAUUGCUUAGAGAAGUUUUAUUAUCCCUAUUUUACUAAAACCCAUCUGAAUUAUUAAAAAAACCACUCUUGGUCACAGACAAAAGUCUCAGAUUCAUGCAUCCCAAAAUCUGUAUUGGGAGUGAGGAGAAUUCUUGCUGUGAGGGUCUGAGUACAGCACGCCGCCCAUGGAGCUGGUGUCAUAGCAAAGUACAGAACGCAGCGCACUGCAGAUGCUGCUGCUGAAGUAAAACUGCAAGGAAAAAAAAAAAAAAGUGCUUUCACUUAGUGGGUGACACUCCCGACAGUUUGAUUACUUGGAAUUUAAGGUGAAAAUGCCCAGCCAGAGAGAUCAAGUCAAGAUAGAGAAAAAUGAGGAGCACGUUAAAAUAAGAAAAUUGGACUUUUUGUGAAGAACACAAUUGCUUGUUCAUAUGUUGCUGAAAUGUGAAGAGGCCUCCAGGAUGCACCAAAGAAAGUAGAGAGCAGGAAGAAAGAUGAAGCUUAAAUUAUCAUCAUCAGCUCUGUUUGUCAAGCAAGGGGCUCACAAGAAGGGAAUCCUCUCACCAGUCAUGGGAAAGGGACUUUGUCUGGACAACAUCAAUUUUGCAGUAGACUUUUUGCUCAGAGGAGGCUUCCUCAGUGCACCUCCUGUCGCACCCGGGCUUAUGAAGCCCUGCAUUUCUGCUGGAAACUUCAGGGACUUUUCAUCUUGGAUGUCAGACAAAAAAGUCAGUUUGCCCUUGCAAAUAGCAUCCUCCAAAGGCAGUCCCCCUGCAGCAGGAAUGUCGUGGAUGGCAUGGGGAGAAGCACAAGGGGUAAAGCAGCUUGACAAGAGCACAAACCAGCAGCUGGUAUUGUUUUGCUUGUGCAUCUGUAUGAUAAGAUUUUAUAUGAUUAAAUUGUUCCACAAGGUAGCUGUAACUAAGUUAUAAAAAGUCUCAUAAAUGUCCCAGCUGGUAGGUAGCAGACUGUGAGACGCAGCCGAUGGUCAAAUGUAUACUCUAAUCGGUCAUGAAAAAUUAUAUUUAAUUCACUUAGGUUUACUUGAGAGAGACUUGAAGCUAAAGGAUCAGCCAAAAUACCCUUCAAUUCUGAAACUCUUUUGGCCCAAUUCCUAAACUCUGAAUACCCGAGAAUUUAAUAUUUGACAUUUCAAGCCAGGACACACCUGAUCCUUGUGGCUUAAACCUUCAGUAAUUAUAUAAAUGAACUAACAAAAUGAUUUUUUUCUACAUUGAAGUUCCUUUUAUCUACAUAACUUUCCUAGGAAAGCACUGUAACUGUAAAUAAGGGCCUCAUGUUAUAAACUUCUGUCUUAGGGGUUUUUAUUUUGGUAAGCCUUUCUUGAAGAUAUGUUUGAUUUUUAUUUAUUUAUUUAUUUAUUAAUUUUUAUUUAAUCUUCCUUGCAAAAAGUUUUGUUUUGAGAGCUGUGUUACUGAAGACUGGUACUGUGGACAGCAUAGCUUGCUGAAUCUGCUCCGAGUGAGAAAUAGCUUUCCUCUAUCAGCACCAUCUUGUCUAUGUUAUAUGUGAAUCAGCAGCACAAGUAGUGUGCUUUGGUGAAUAAAAGGGUUUUUCUUGUUUGUUUUGGUAUGGGG
rnacentral:lncRNA from 1 species